rnacentral:rRNA from 1 species
ACGCGAGUGGAUGCCAAUCCCCAAAACCUCUCUCAGUUCGGACUGGAGUCUGCAACCCGACUCCACGAAGCUGGAUUCGCUAGUAAUCGCGCAUCAGCCACGGCGCGGUGAAUACGUUCCCGGGCCUUGUACACACCGCCCGUCAAGCCAUGGGAGCCGGGGUACCUGAAGUGCGUAACCGCGAGGAGCGCCCUAGGGUAAAACUGGUGACUGGGGCUAAGUCGUAACAAGGUAAC